UUCCACCUCUGUUCUCUCCUCUCCUUCGUCCUCCAAAUCCUCCACCAGCUCCUCCACCUCCAGGGGCUCCACGGCUCAGGCCCCUAAACCAGAGGGACAAGUUUUGGGAAAGACCGACACCCCCAUCCAGAGAUGGUUCACACUGAAGAAAGAGAAGACUUUCCUCAAGGAUGGACAGAAUGUGGCUGCCAAAGGAAAAAAGACAAGCAAAAUAUUCAAGACAAACAAAGUGUCUCCCCUUAGCGCAGAACGUCCAGACCUUGGUGAGUCCUCCAUUGCCGGAGGAGAGGAGAAGAAGAAGAAGUCCAUCAAAGCUUUCUUCCG